rnacentral:tRNA from 1 species
GUGGUUGUAGCUCAAUUGGUUAGAGCGCUAGACUGUGGCUCUAGAGGUUGCGGGUUCAAGUCCCGUCAGCCACC